AACUUUCGGCAACGGUUCACUUGGUUCUGGCAUCGAUGAAGAACGCAGCGAAAUGCGAUAAGUAAUGCGAAUUGCAGAAUUUAGUGAGUCAUCGAAUCUUUGAACGCACAUUGCGCCCUAUGGUAUUCCAUAGGGCAUGCCUGUUCGAGCGUCAUUUCAACCCUCAAGCCUGGCUUGGUGUUGGGUGUAGCCUAUGCGGCCAGCCCUAAAGACAGUGGCGGCGCCGCCUGGCCCUAAGCGCAGUACAGCUCUCGCUCUAGGGUCCUGCGGUGGCCUGCCAGAACCCCUAACUCUGUGGUUGACCUCGGAUCAGGUAGGGAUACCCGCUGAACUUAAGCAUAUCAAUAAGCGGAGCU
rnacentral:misc_RNA from 1 species